rnacentral:lncRNA from 1 species
CAUUGGCAUAUUUUCACUUUAGGUGGGAAAAAAAAAGGAAAAAAAUGAAAUUCAUAUAAACGGGGCAUCAUUUCACCAGCGACAUCAGAGUAACAACAAAAGCAGAUGAAUCCUAAAUCAUUAAAUAGUUAGCCUGAACAGAGUAACAUGAAUCACACACUAAAUAGCUGAGCAACAAAAGAGAUGAAUCAUCCUACAUCAUGAGAUGGUUAACAAAACAAACAUAGUUCCUGUAACACGUUUUAUUUUCACAUCUAGGAUGUACAAAUGCAUAUGGCAUAGUCAGGUAGCACGUUUUAUUUUCACAUCUAGGAUGUACAAAUGCAUAUGGCAUAGUCAGGCAUCAUCUGCCUUUGCGACGGUUUUUCAAAGCUGCACAAUCUGGACAAUACCAUUUCCCUUUAGGCUGUUCUUUCAAACCAACACAGCCAAAGUGGAACCAUUCUAUCUUGCACUGUCAAACAAAAACAGACACUUUCGUC